GUUGCCCCUCGAGGCGUUACAAGCCUGGCUGCUGUGCUUUGCUUGUGUCAUGAGGUGGCGAAGAGAAACAGGCUAUGUCUACGCUCUGUGCUCUGGAAAACAGACCUGUGGGCACACAGAAUGAUUGAUAGCCUGACAAU